UACAGAGGGUGCAAGCGUUAAUCGGAAUUACUGGGCGUAAAGCGUGCGUAGGCGGCCCUUCUUGUCGCGUGUGAAAGCCCCGGGCUCAACCUGGGAAUGGCGCGCGAGACGGGGGGGCUGGAGUUCGGGAGAGGAGGCGUGGAAUUCCCAGUGUAGAGGUGAAAUUCGUAGAUAUUGGGAAGAACACCGGUGGCGAAGGCGGCGCUCUGGACCGAGACUGACGCUGAGGCGCGAAAGCGUGGGGAGCAAACAGG
rnacentral:rRNA from 1 species